rnacentral:rRNA from 1 species
UACGUAGGGUGCGAGCGUUGUCCGGAAUUAUUGGGCGUAAAGAGCUCGUAGGCGGUUCGUCGCGUCGAAUGUGAAAACCCGGGGCUCAACUCCGGGCCUGCAUUCGAUACGGGCGGACUAGAGUUCGGUAGGGGAGACUGGAAUUCCUGGUGUAGCGGUGAAAUGCGCAGAUAUCAGGAGGAACACCGGUGGCGAAGGCGGGCUACUGGGCCGAUACUGACGCUGAGGCGCGAAAGCCAGGGGAGCAAACGGG